UUGGGCAGCACACAUAACUAAACUUUGGAAUGAUAGAGAUUAGCAUGGUCCCUGUGUAAGGAUGACACACAAAUUUAUGUAGAUGCAGAAAAGAAA
rnacentral:snRNA from 1 species